rnacentral:lncRNA from 1 species
CUGGACUGGGCCUUUCCGCUCUGAGCUCUGUUCCUGCUCAUUGCUGGAAGCCGGUUCAAACCCCACCUGCUGCCUGGGACCCGCAUACAGGGACCCACGUGUAUGCGCAUGCACACACAUGCACACGCAUGCACACGCACCACAGCAAGCGCCCCCGCCCCAGGAAGAGUAAACAUCUCCACCAGAGGAAGCAGCAGGCCCGUCUCCCAAGAGAAAAAAUGUGGCUAAACCAGACCCAGGCGGCCUGUGGGCCCCACUCUUGCUACCACCCUGGAGUCACGAUGGUCUCUCAAGUCUGGUGGUAAAACAUUGACAGCUCCCCACUCCAGGGGCCUGGCACCCACAUGGGCAGCCAUAGACGCCUCCACCAGGAAGCCCUCUGGGAAGAAGACGGCCUCUGCGUCCCAGCUCUGUCCAGUGGCCUCCAAGGUCCCCACCCAGCAUCAGCCCUGAGCAUGAGCAGGCAUCGUGUGGGGGGUAAGCCGUUGGCAAGGCCACUUGGCUCUACCUUCAAGACAUACCAGAGCCUAACGCGUCCCGCCGCCUGGUCCCCUCCCGCUGGGACCUGCGCCCACCUCCUCACCGGCCCCUCCUCUGCACACAACCUCUGGAAAACCUUAAUCAGGUCAUAUCCCCGUCUUGGCCAGGCCCCCCGGGCUGCCGUCUCACUCCAAUAAAACUCUUUAUAGUAACCC